GAAUCGUGAUUACUGAUUUUUAGUUUAAUAAUCGUACUUAAAAGUAUUAAAAAAUGGUUGCUACUAAUAAUUUGAACGACAGAAUAAAGAACGGAGAGCUUAACUUCAGUUCCUGCGGUUUGAAAGAAAUACAUACCUCUAAAAGAUGUCGCUAGUUUGAAACAUAUCAUGUUUGUUAAAUCUAUCUAACUACAAAAUAGCCUUGAUUCCGAGCAAGAAUCAAAGAAAAAUGACAAAAAAGCUUAAUAUUGAGGAAUCGCCACACAAACUAAACAAGAAGAUCGCAAACAGAAGUAACCUUUCAAGAUGAUGUACAGUUUUGCUCGGUUUUCAGUUCAUCUGAUACCUUUACUAAAUAGACAAUUGGCCAAAGUGAUCAGACGCAAUUUGUGGAUGUACAAUAUGAACGAUGAAAUGGUCCAAUACAUUUGUCAACAAGUGAAAUCUAUCUAUUCAUACGAAGAGCUUUUAUUCCAUUUUGAACUGAGUAUUUAAUUCGUUGUGACUCACGAAUUACCUCAUCAUAGAGUUUCAGCAGUUAUCACUGCUGCUUUCGUACGAUUAUUUAUACAUCAUUAAUUCAUUAUCAGUUGGUUGUAUGCAAUAAUGCAGUGUGUAUUUUUGGACAUUUUUCAUUUUGAUUUGUGUUCGAAUAGCUAGUGCUACCCGUGUAAUGACGAAGAUGCGAAUUUCGAUGUAAAUGUAGACACAUCGAAAUCCGUCACAAUUAGAUGCUUCAGUGUAGAUGUAAUUGUAGAUGUUUUGUAGAUGUACUUGUAGAUCAUUUUGUGGAUCAUCUACAAAACAUCUACAAAACAUCUACAAUGGAUCGACCUUGGCACGCCCUUUUGCAAUGUAAUAACAUGAAAUUGUAGUUUCAAAAUUGAAAAUUUUUCCCAAAAAUUAUUUUCUGAAAGUUGGCCACUGCUCCUGCGGAGAGAAGCAUUCACACAGAGGCCAACCUCCGCGAGGUACAGACAGAAGAUC